AUUGAACGCUGGCGGCAGGCUUAACACAUGCAAGUCGAGCGGGGUGAUGGUGCUUGCACUAUCACUUAGCGGCGGACGGGUGAGUAAUGCUUAGGAAUCUGCCUAUUAGUGGGGGACAACAUCUCGAAAGGGAUGCUAAUACCGCAUACGUCCUACGGGAGCAAGCAGGGGAUCACUUGUGACCUUGCGCUAAUAGAUGAGCCUAAGUCGGAUUAGCUAGUUGGUGGGGUAAAGGCCUACCAAGGCGACGAUCUGUAGCGGGUCUGAGAGGAUGAUCGGCCACACUGGGACUGAGACACGGCCCAGACUCCUACGGGAGGCAGCAGUGGGGAAUAUUGGACAAUGGGGGGAACCCUGAUCCAGCCAUGCCGCGUGUGUGAAGAAGGCCUUAUGGUUGUAAAGCACUUUAAGCGAGGAGGAGGCUCUUUUGGUUAAUACCCAGAAUGAGUGGACGUUACUCGCAGAAUAAGCACCGGCUAACUCUGUGCCAGCAGCCGCAGUAACAC
rnacentral:rRNA from 1 species